CUUGCGGCCACCAUGUAAGAAGUGCUUUUCGCCCUGCACAAUGAUUCUGAGAAAUUCCCCAGACAUGUGGAACUAUAUUGAUGGAGCAGCCACUCUAUGCUGGACACUGGGAAUCUAGCAGUGAACAAAACAAAUUCCCUGCCCCAGCUGAGCUAACAUCCUAGGCAGGGAAUCAAACAAUACGGCCUGGGUGAUGCAUCUCAACUACCCUUCCCCCUUGCUGUUCCUUGAACAAGUGGACACACUCCUACCUCCAAGCCUUUGCACCUGC
rnacentral:lncRNA from 1 species